rnacentral:tRNA from 1 species
GAACCCCCACGACCUUUUACGGUCAACGGAUUUAAGUCCGUAGCGUCUACC